rnacentral:rRNA from 1 species
UACGGGAGGCAGCAGUGGGGAAUAUUGCACAAUGGGCGAAAGCCUGAUGCAGCCAUGCCGCGUGUGUGAAGAAGGCUUUAGGGUUGUAAAGCACUUUCAGUGGGGAGGAAAAGUUCAAAAUUAAUAUUUUUGAACCUUGACGUUACCUGCAGAAGAAGCACCGGCAAAUUCCGUGCCAGCAGCCGCGGUAAU